rnacentral:tRNA from 1 species
GCUUUCGUCGUCUAGUGGCCUGAGGACGCCGCCCAGUUGAGGCGGAAACGCCGGUUCGAAUCCGGUCGAAAGCGCAA